rnacentral:rRNA from 1 species
AAACAUGAGAGUUUGAUCCUGGCUCAGGAUGAAUGCUGGCGGCGUGCCUAAUACAUGCAAGUCGAGCGGUAAGGCCCUUCGGGGUACACGAGCGGCGGACGGCUGAGGAACACGUGGGAACGCACCCCAAAGUGAGGGAUAAGCACUCGAAAGAGUGUCUAAUACCGCAUAUGAUCUACGGAUUAAAGCUUCGGCGCUUUGGGAGCGGCCUGCGUCUGAUUAGAUAGUUGGUGAGGUAAUGGCUCACCAAGUCAACGAUCAGUAACUGGUUCGAGAGGACGAACAGUCAGACUGGAACUGAGACACGGUCCAGACUCCUACGGGAGGCAGCAGUAGGGAAUCUUUCACAAUGGGCGAAAGCCUGAUGGAGCAACGCCGCGAGCGGGAUGAAGGUCUUCGGAUCGUAAACCGCUUUUAUCAACGAAAAAUAUGAUUGUAAUUGAUGAAUAAGGGUCGGCUAACUACGUGCCAGCAGCCGCGGUCAUACGUAGGACCCAAGCAUUAUUCGGAGUGACUGGGCGUAAAGAGUUGCGUAGGUGGUUUGUUAAGUAGUAAAUUAAAGCUGGUGGCUCAACCAUUCAGUUGUUUACUAAACUGGCAGACUCGAGAGCGUCAGGGGUAGCUGGAAUUACUAGUGUAGGAGUGAAAUCCGUAGAUAUUAGUAGGAACACCAACAGCGUAGGCAGGCUACUGGGGCGUUUCUGACACUAAGGCACGAAAGCGUGGGGAGCAAACGGGAUUAGAUACCCCGGUAGUCCACGCUGUAAACGAUGGAUACUAGCCGUUGGAGGUAUUGACCCCUUCAGUGGCGUAGCUAACGCGUUAAGUAUCCCGCCUGUGUAGUACGAUCGCAAGAUUAAAACAUAAAGGAAUUGACGGGGACCCGCACAAGCGGUGGAUUAUGUUCUUUAAUUCGAUGCUAACCGAUAAACCUUACCAGGGCUUGACAUCUAGGGAAGGACUACGAAAGUAGUUUGUGCCUUUUUGGAACCCUAAGACAGGUGAUGCAUGGCCGUCGUCAGCUCGUGUCGUGAGAUGUUAGGUUAAGUCCUUCAACGAGCGCAACCCUUGUGAAUAGUUGUAUUUUUCUAUUCAAACUGCCCCGGUAACGGGGAGGAAGGAGGGGAUGAUGUCAGGUCAGUAUUUCCCUUACGUCCUGGGCUAGAAACGUAAUACAAUGGCAAGCAACAAUGCGUGGCGAAGUCGUGAGAUGAAGCUAACCGCACAAAACUUGUCCCAGUCCGGAUUGGAGGCUGAAACUCGCCUCCAUGAAGUCGGAAUCGCUAGUAAUCGCAGAUCAGCAAGCUGCGGUGAAUACGUUCCCGGGUCUUGUACACACCGCCCGUCAAACCAUGAGAGUCAGGGGCACCCGAAGUCCGCUUAGGCGGCCUAAGGUGAACCGGAUGAUUGGGGUUAAGUCGUAACAAGGCAUCCGUACCGGAAGGUGUGGAUGGAUUACCUCCUUU